AAGUCGUAACAAGGUAUCCGUAGGUGAACCUGCGGAUGGAUCAUUACCAAGAGCCCUGAGCUUUUGCGUCUUGUGAAUUGUGUCUGAGGUUGCGUCGUCGGCGAUCCGUUGCCGGCGGCUCCUUUUAAACAUACAAUCUGAAGAGUCUAUUGAAUCAAUGCUAAACGCAUACAACUUUUAGCAAUGGAUCUCUUGGCUCUC
rnacentral:misc_RNA from 1 species